UUUUAUGAGAUAGAGCUUUUUUAGAUAAUGCUUUUUUAGAUAAUGCUGGGGAAGGUUUUCCGGUUUAUCUCGGAGGGCUUGUAGCUCAGUUGGUUAGAGCGCGCGCUUGAUAAGCGUGAGGUCGGAGGUUCAAGUCCUCCCAGGCCCACCAAUUUACCUAUCCAUUUGCCUUUAUCCGUUUAUUUGCCGAUUUAUCGGUCCAUUGAAUUUAAGUGUUGGUAGCAGUUUUAUAAUGAUGAGAAAUCAUGCUUAUAAAAGAAUUCCUUAUAAAAGGCUUGUUUUUAAAAUGUGACGCUUAUCCAUUUCGCUUAGGCAAAAGAAACUUCAAGCGGUCAAAUGCAAAAGGGUUUA
rnacentral:misc_RNA from 1 species